GGGGUCGUAAAGGUUUCGACGGGGAUGAUGAAGCCCGUUAAGCACGCGGAGUUCGCCUAAACUCCUCAAAAAGGGCACUUUUAAAAUUAAACGCAGACAAUAGAUCUGAAUUAGUAGCUGCCUAAGUGCAGCUUCCGUCCGACCGGAGAGCGCUGCGGCUCUGAUUCGGGCGUCGACUAGCAGCCAACGUCUUGGGUGAGCGUCCUGUAGCCCCUGCCGUAACUAAAGGGCUGCCAAAGGGUGAUCCUGUCAAUCGGAGCGCCUCGCGGGAGAUUUAAAAGAUUGAAUAAGCGUGUAGAAAGACGUGUGGAUUUGUUUUCGGACGGGGGUUCGACUCCCCCCGAUUCCACCA
rnacentral:tmRNA from 1 species